CACUCCAGUUUUCAUCCCAGCACUGGAAUUCAGCAUUUUAAGAUGCCACAUUGUAAAAGCUUCCUUUCGAGAAGCACUGGGAAUCGCAGCCCUGCAUCUGUAGAUGCUCAGCACUCCAGUGUCUCAUGGAUUAGGUGCCAAACCACCCGGGAGAGAAAAACUGCUUUAGAAAACUAUUUCCUGGACAAUUUUCCUGAGCCCAAGGGAAGGAUUAAGACAGGCAGAGCCUGAGACCUGUGCACAAGCCCCACAGAACCUCUCUGCAAUCCCUAGUCACCAAACCAGCCCAGGAAAAGAAGUUUCUAAGCACCAGAGAAACCACGAAGAAGCCCAGAGCUGCCUUCCUCUGGCAAACCAGCCGCACUAUCUUCGGGGAUAUUUAGAAAUCAUUGCAAGGAGCUCUAGAGAAAAUAGACGAUGGAGUGGGUGCAGCUUUCAAUAUAUUUGCUCUAGGAUAUAGUAACAGGCACUAAAGCAAACACGGGCGGGGGAAUUAGGACGGGAGCUUCUGCUUCGCUCGUUUUAAAUAACAAAGUGCCGAGACAGCCGAGUCUACGAUAGAUUUCAGAGUCAGAAAAGUGCCCCGGGGAACAUGCACGCAGCAAACGGAGGCGUUUCCUACGCAGCUGCAUCGUUUUGUGCCUGGAACGAGCUGGAAAUGUCAUGGAACAAAACUAAAUGGAUAAACGGGCUCGGCGAAGCACGUCGCUUCUCGGGGGCGGGGGGCGGCUGGACGGUGUGUUUCCCUCUUUGGAGCGAAAGAAAAAAAAAAGAAAUCGAGUUGAACUUUGCAUCUGUCAAAUAGAAAUCUAAUAGGAAAGAGAGCUGUACAUGGUCAAAGUCAAGUCCAGGCUCCAGGAACAUCCAGGAGGACAGUUUCGGGUAUCGCCUGGAUGCGCCAAGCAAACACUCACGCGCGCGCGGUGCCGAUUCCCGCCGGCAGCCUGGAAUCCCGCGGGCCGCCGAGGAAAACUCGCCGCUGGAGAGCAGGGCGACAAAUCCACUUGCAGACUUUAAUGAGUGGCUUGGAAACCAUGUGUCAAUGACAUGGGCUGCUGGAGAAGAUGAGCAGGAUGGUGGUGGAGCUUUAUUCCCAGGCCAUGGUUGAUGCUAAGCUGCUUGAGCAUCCCAGAUUCUCAAGUCAGGUGGAAGCCAAGGGAGUGAAGCAGCUGAUGGGCUGCCACUCCCGCCGUGGUUCCAACAUGUUUCCCUGGAUGUUUUCCAUUGGCAGCCAGCUGAGCUUUUGCUAUGACACCAAGCAAAUAAAAAGAUACAUUUCCUCAACUUUGAA